rnacentral:rRNA from 1 species
CCUACGGGGGGCUGCAGUGGGGAAUAUUGGACAAUGGGGGGAACCCUGAUCCAGCCAUGCCGCGUGUGAGAAGAAGGCCCUCGGGUUGUAAAGCACUUUCAGUGAGGAAGAACGCCUGGUGGUUAAUACCCAUCAGGAAAGACAUCACUCACAGAAGAAGCACCGGCUAACUCCGUGCCAGCAGCCGCGGUAAUACGGAGGGUGCGAGCGUUAAUCGGAAUUACUGGGCGUAAAGCGCGCGUAGGUGGCUUGAUAAGCCGGUUGUGAAAGCCCCGGGCUCAACCUGGGAACGGCAUCCGGAACUGUCAAGCUAGAGUGCAGGAGAGGAAGGUAGAAUUCCCGGUGUAGCGGUGAAAUGCGUAGAGAUCGGGAGGAAUACCAGUGGCGAAGGCGGCCUUCUGGACUGACACUGACACUGAGGUGCGAAAGCGUGGGUAGCAAACAGGAUUAGAUACCCUAGUAGUC